AUGACCUUCAUCAUCAUCUUCAUCUGGACUCUCACAGCGUUUGCUCAAGAGUGUAGAGGACAGAUCAGCGUCACUCAGAGUCCCUCAACGACAGCAGCUCAACCAGGAGAAACAGUGAAGAUCAGCUGUAAAACCAGCAAAGAUGUGUACAGAUAUAGUGGAUCUGAUUAUUUAGCCUGGUACUUACAGAAACCUGGAGAAGCUCCUAAACUCCUGAUUUAUUAUGCAAACCGGCUCCAGUCAGGAACUCCAUCUAGAUUCAGUGGCAGUGGAUCUAACAGUGAUUUCACUCUGACCAUCAGUGGAGUCCAGACUGAAGAUGCUGGACAUUAUUACUGUCAGAGUUUCCACUGCAGAACUAGUGGUGUUAAUUGUGCGGGUGACUAUGUGUUCACACAGUGAUUGUGAGUGGUACAAAAACCUGUGUCAGUCAGAGUCACAGUGACUGAACUGAUGCUGCAGCUGAUCAAAGGAGGAUAUGAAACAACAUCAUAACACAUGCAUCUGAAAUAAAAUCAUCUAAAUGAAUCUGUCACUCUUAAUGAUCAUAGA